GAUGAACGCUGGCGGCGUGCCUAAUACAUGCAAGUCGAGCGAACGGAUAAGGAGCUUGCUCCUUUGAAGUUAGCGGCGGACGGGUGAGUAACACGUGGGUAACCUACCUAUAAGACUGGAAUAACUUCGGGAAACCGGAGCUAAUGCCGGAUAACAUUUGGAACUGCAUGGUUCUAAAGUAAAAGAUGGUUUUGCUAUCACUUAUAGAUGGACCCGCGCCGUAUUAGCUAGUUGGUAAGGUAACGGCUUACCAAGGCAGCGAUACGUAGCCGACCUGGGAGGGUGAUCGGCCACACUGGAACUGAGACACGGUCCAGACUCCUACGGGAGGCAGCAGUAGGGAAUCUUCCGCAAUGGACGAAAGUCUGACGGAGCAACGCCGCGUGAGUGAUGAAGGUUUUCGGAUCGUAAAACUCUGUAUUAGGGAAGAACAAGUGUGUAAGUAACUGUGCACAUCUUGACGGUACCUAUCAGAAAGCCACGGCUAACUACGUGCCAGCAGCCGCGGUAA
rnacentral:rRNA from 1 species